GGAGCGGGUAGGCCCAGCAUAACUGUGGAGACUGACCUGUGUCUAGAGCCUAUCCUGACAAGCGGAGUCUGCCGCGAGUCCCUGGUGUCCCCUCCGGGGCGCUCGUAGAGCCACCUUCCCGAGCGGAAGUCAGCCUGCGGACCGGACUCGGGUGGGGCCUGCUCGGAGGAAUGGCGCCGCCGGGUUCAAGCACUGUUUUCCUGUUGGCCCUGACAAUCAUAGUCAACACCCAGGCUCUGACACCCACUCACUACCUCACCAAACAUGACGUGGAGAGAUUGAAAGCCUCCCUGGACCGUCCUUUCACAAGUUUGGAAUCUGCCUUCUACUCCAUCGUGGGACUCAGCAGCCUUGGGGCCCAGGUGCCAGAUGUAAAGAAAGCAUGCACCUUCAUCAAAUCUAACCUUGAUCCCAGCAAUGUGGAUUCUCUCUUCUAUGCUGCCCAGUCCAGCCAGGUCCUCUCAGGGUGUGAGAUCUCUAUUUCAAAUGAGACCAAAGAUCUGCUUCUGGCAGCUGUCAGUGAAGACUCAUCUGUUACCCAGAUCUACCAUGCAGUCGCAGCCCUUAGUGGCUUUGGCCUUCCCGUGGCAUCCCAGGAAGCACUUGGUGCCCUUACUGCUCGUCUUGGCAAGGAGGAAACCGUGCUGGCAACAGUCCAGGCUCUGCAGACAGCGUCCCAUCUGUCCCAGCAGGCGGACCUGAGGAGCAUUGUGGAAGAGAUUGAGGACCUUGUUGCUCGCCUGGAUGAACUGGGGGCGGUGUAUCUCCAGUUUGAAGAAGGAUUGGAAACCACAGCAUUAUUUGUUGCUGCCACCUACAAGCUCAUGGACCAUGUGGGGACCGAACCAUCUAUUAAGGAGGAUCAGGUUAUCCAGCUAAUGAACACAGUCUUCAGCAAGAAGAACUUUGAGUCACUCUCUGAAGCCUUCAGUGUGGCCUCUGCUGCUGCUGCACUCUCCCAGAAUCGCUACCAUGUGCCAGUUGUGGUUGUGCAUGAGGGCUCUGCUUCUGACACUCAGGAACAGGCUAUCCUGCGGUUGCAGGUCACCAAUGUUCUGUCCCAGCCUCUGACUCAGGCCGCGGUUAAACUAGAACACGCCAAGUCUGUAGCGUCCAGAGCCACAGUCCUCCAGAGGACUCCUUUCACCCCUGUGGGGGAUAUUUUUGAACUAAACUUCGUGAAUGUCAAAUUUUCCAGUGGUUACUAUGACUUCUCUGUAAAAGUUGAAGGUGACACCCGUUAUAUUGCAAACACUGUAGAGCUCAGAGUCAAGAUCUCCACUGAAGUUGGCAUCACAAAUGUUGAUCUGUCCACUGUGGAUAAAGAUCAGAGUAUUGCACCCAAAACUACCCGGGUAACCUACCCGGCCAAAGCCAAGGGCACAUUCAUCGCGGACAGCCACCAGAACUUCGCCUUGUUCUUCCAGCUUGUGGAUGUGAACACUGGUGCUGAACUUACCCCUCACCAGACAUUUGUCCGACUCCAUAAUCAGAAGACUGGCCAAGAAGUGGUAUUUGUUGCUGAGCCAGACAACAAGAAUGUGUACAAAUUUGAACUAGACACCUCUGAAAGAAAAAUCGAAUUUGAUUCAGCCUCAGGCACCUACACUCUGUACUUAAUCAUCGGAGAUGCCACUUUGAAGAACCCAAUCCUCUGGAAUGUGGUAUGUGUCUGGAUGCACCUGACCCAGGCUGAUGUGGUCAUCAAGUUCCCAGAAGAAGAAGCUCCCUCCACUGUCCUGUCCCAGAACCUUUUCACCCCGAAACAGGAAAUUCAGCACCUGUUCCGAGAGCCUGAGAAGAGGCCCCUCACAGUGGUGUCUAACACAUUCACGGCCCUGAUACUCUCGCCUUUGCUUUUGCUUUUUGCUCUGUGGAUCCGGAUUGGAGCCAAUGUCUCCAACUUCACUUUUGCUCCUAGCACGAUUAUCUUUCACCUGGGACAUGCUGGGUCAUCAUCUUCACAUCCAUAGUGUAUAGCUUCUGGAGAUGACUCCCAUGAAAUUCCAGGCAAAUGUGUGUCUGCAUUUUUCUGGGGAAAGAGACAGUCCAUAACUUUUUUUUUUUUGGUACCGGGGAUCAAGCUCAGGACCUUACGCUUGCGAGCUAUGCUGGGACUCAUGUAUGUCUACUGGACUCAGCUCAACAUGUUCCAGACCCUGAAGUACCUGGCCAUCCUGGGCAGUGUGACAUUUCUGGCUGGCAAUCGGAUGCUGGCCCAGCAGGCAGUUAAGAGAACAGCACAUUAGUUCCAGGAAAAGGAUGGAAAAUUUGAAAACUUAAAUGAAUGUUGAAAAGAGGAGUCAAAAACAGUUCACAGUGUGAAAAGAGAAACGAAAAAAAGUCACUUUAUUUAAAAAGAGAAAGUUUGAAAUGUGGUUACUUUUGCUUGUUUUUCAGUUUCCCCUACACAGAGCAGAUACCCGUGGCUCAGAUUGUCUGUAUCUUUGGCAUGAUGCCGUAGCAAGAUGCUGUGAAUGUCCUACUACCCAGAUGUUGCAUUGAAAAGUUGAAACCUGUAAUUAAUCUGCUUUUGAAAUAAAGAGAAUAAUAGGAACAAA